rnacentral:rRNA from 1 species
UAGGGAAUCUUCGGCAAUGGGGGCAACCCUGACCGAGCAACGCCGCGUGAGUGAAGAAGGUUUUCGGAUCGUAAAGCUCUGUUGUAAGUCAAGAACGAGUGUGAGAGUGGAAAGUUCACACUGUGACGGUAGCUUACCAGAAAGGGACGGCUAACUACGUGCCAGCAGCCGCGGUAAUACGUAGGUCCCGAGCGUUGUCCGGAUUUAUUGGGCGUAAAGCGAGCGCAGGCGGUUUGAUAAGUCUGAAGUUAAGGGCUGUGGCUCAACCAUAGUUCGCUUUGGAAACUGUCAAACUUGAGUGCAGAAGGGGAGAGUGGAAUUCCAUGUGUAGCGGUGAAAUGCGUAGAUAUAUGGAGGAACACCGGUGGCGGAAGCGGCUCUCUGGUCUGUAACUGACGCUGAGGCUCGAAAGCGUGGGGAGCGAACAGGAUUAGAUACCCUGGUAGUCCACGCCGUAAACGAUGAGUGCUAGGUGUUGGGUCCUUUCCGGGAUUCAGUGCCGCAGCUAACGCAUUAAGCACUCCGCCUGGGGAGUACGACCGCAAGGUUG